rnacentral:rRNA from 1 species
UCUUGCGCAAUGGGCGAAAGCCUGACGCAGCAACGCCGCGUGCGGGAUGAAGGCCCUCGGGUCGUAAACCGCUUUCAGCAGGGAUGAAAAUGACAGUACCUGCAGAAGAAGCCCCGGCUAAAUACGUGCCAGCAGCCGCGGUAAUACGUAUGGGGCAAGCGUUAUCCGGAUUUAUUGGGCGUAAAGCGCGCGUAGGCGGCUUGUUAAGUCAGGUGUGAAAUCCGGGGGCUCAACCCGCGGCUUGCACCUGAAACUGGCAGGCUUGAGUCUGGUAGAGGAAAGUGGAAUUCCUGGUGUAGCGGUGAAAUGCGCAGAUAUCAGGAGGAACACCAGUGGCGAAGGCGGCUUUCUGGGCCACGACUGACGCUGAGGCGCGAAAGCUAGGGGAGCGAACAGG